rnacentral:rRNA from 1 species
CAAGACGGAAAGACCCCGUGAACCUUUACUAUAGCUUGACACUGAACAUUGAGCCUUGAUGUGUAGGAUAGGUGGGAGGCUUUGAAGUGUGGACGCCAGUCUGCAUGGAGCCGACCUUGAAAUACCACCCUUUAAUGUUUGAUGUUCUAACGUGGACCCGUGAUCCGGGUUGCGGACAGUGUCUGGUGGGUAGUUUGACUGGGGCGGUCUCCUCCUAAAGAGUAACGGAGGAGCACGAAGGUUGGCUAAUCCUGGUCGGACAUCAGGAGGUUAGUGCAAUGGCAUAAGCCAGCUUGACUGCGAGCGUGACGGCGCGAGCAGGUGCGAAAGCAGGUCAUAGUGAUCCGGUGGUUCUGAAUGGAAGGGCCAUCGCUCAACGGAUAAAAGGUACUCCGGGGAUAACAGGCUGAUACCGCCCAAGAGUUCAUAUCGACGGCGGUGUUUGGCACCUCGAUGUCGGCUCAUCACAUCCUGGGGCUGAAGUAGGUCCCAAGGGUAUGGCUGUUCGCCAUUUAAAGUGGUACGCGAGCUGGGUUUAGAACGUCGUGAGACAGUUCGGUCCCUAUCUGCCGUGGGCGCUGGAGAACUGAGGGGGGCUGCUCCUAGUACGAGAGGACCGGAGUGGACGCAUCACUGGUGUUCGGGUUGUCAUGCCAAUGGCACUGCCCGGUAGCUAAAUGCGGAAGAGAUAAGUGCUGAAAGCAUCUAAGCACGAAACUUGCCCCGA